GACGAACGCUGGCGGCGUGCUUAACACAUGCAAGUCGAACGGAAAGGCCCUGCUUUUGUGGGGUGCUCGAGUGGCGAACGGGUGAGUAACACGUGAGUAACCUGCCCUUGACUUUGGGAUAACUUCAGGAAACUGGGGCUAAUACCGGAUAGGAGCUCCUGCUACAUGGUGGGGGUUGGAAAGUUUCGGCGGUUGGGGAUGGACUCGCGGCUUAUCAGCUUGUUGGUGGGGUAGUGGCUUACCAAGGCUUUGACGGGUAGCCGGCCUGAGAGGGUGACCGGCCUCAUUGGGCCUGAGAUACGGCCCAGACUCCUACGGGAGGCAGCAGUCGGGAAUAUUGCACAAUGGGCCCAAGCCUGAUGCAGCAACGCCGCGUGCGGGAUGACGGCCUUCGGGUUGUAAACCGCUUUCGCCUGUGACGAAGCGUGAGUGACGGUAAUGGGUAAAGAAGCACCGGCUAACUACGUG
rnacentral:rRNA from 1 species